rnacentral:SRP_RNA from 1 species
GCCGGGCAUGGUGGUGCGUGCCUGUAAUCCCAGCUACUCAGGAGGCUGAGACAGGAGAAUCGCUUGAACCCAGGAGGUGGAGGUUGCAGUAAGCCGAGAUCGCGCCACUGCAUUCCAGCCUGGGUGACAGAGAGAGACUCUGUCUCAA